rnacentral:rRNA from 1 species
AGAGUUUGAUCCUGGCUCAGGAUGAACGCUAGCGAUAGGCUUAACACAUGCAAGUCGAGGGGCAGCAUGGUCUUAGCUUGCUAAGACUGAUGGCGACCGGCGCACGGGUGCGUAACGCGUAUGCAACUUGCCUCACAGAGGGGGAUAACCCGUCGAAAGACGGACUAAUACCGCGUACACUCUAUGUUGGGCAUCCAAUGUAGAGGAAAUGAAAUUCGCUGUGAGAUAGGCAUGCGUCCCAUUAGCUAGUUGGUGAGGUAACGGCUCACCAAGGCGACGAUGGGUAGGGGAACUGAGAGGUUGAACCCCCACACUGGUACUGAGACACGGACCAGACUCCUACGGGAGGCAGCAGUGAGGAAUAUUGGUCAAUGGGCGAGAGCCUGAACCAGCCAAGUCGCGUGAAGGAUGACUGUCUUAUGGAUUGUAAACUUCUUUUAUACGGGAAUAACAAGAGUCACGUGUGGCUCCCUGCAUGUACCGUAUGAAUAAGCAUCGGCUAACUCCGUGCCAGCAGCCGCGGUAAUACGGAGGAUGCGAGCGUUAUCCGGAUUUAUUGGGUUUAAAGGGUGCGUAGGCGGCCUGUUAAGUCAGCGGUGAAAUCUAGGAGCUUAACUCCUAAAUUGCCAUUGAUACUGGCGGGCUUGAGUGUAGAUGAGGUAGGCGGAAUGCGUGGUGUAGCGGUGGAAUGCAUAGAUAUCACGCAGAACUCCGAUUGCGAAGGCAGCUUACUAAGGUACAACUGACGCUGAAGCACGAAAGCGUGGGUAUCAAACAGGAUUAGAUACCCUGGUAGUCCACGCAGUAAACGAUGAUAACUGGGCGUAUGCGAUAUACAGUAUGCUCCUAAGCGAAAGCGUUAAGUUAUCCACCUGGGGAGUACGCCGGCAACGGUGAAACUCAAAGGAAUUGACGGGGGCCC